rnacentral:rRNA from 1 species
UACGAAGGGUGCAAACGUUGCUCGGAAUCAUUGGGCGUAAAGCGCACGUAGGCGGCUUCGCAAGUCGGAUGUGAAAUCCCUCGGCUCAACCGAGGACGUGCAUACGAAACUGCGGAGCUUGAGUGCUGAAGAGGAUCGCGGAAUUCCCGGUGUAGAGGUGAAAUUCGUAGAUAUCGGGAGGAACACCUGUGGCGAAGGCGGCGAUCUGGGCAGACACUGACGCUGAGGUGCGAAAGCGUGGGGAGCAAACAGG